UUGCCUCAGUAACGGCGAGUGAAGCGGCAACAGCUCAAAUUUGAAAUCUGGCCCGUCCGGGUCCGAGUUGUAAUUUGCAGAGGAUGCUUUUGGCGCGGUGCCUUCCGAGUUCCCUGGAACGGGACGCCAUAGAGGGUGAGAGCCCCGUACGGUUGGACACCAAGCCUUUGUAAAGCUCCUUCGACGAGUCGAGUAGUUUGGGAAUGCUGCUCAAAAUGGGAGGUAUAUUUCUUCUAAAGCUAAAUACCGGCCAGAGACCGAUAGCGCACAAGUAGAGUGAUCGAAAGAUGAAAAGCACUUUGAAAAGAGGGUUAAACAGCACGUGAAAUUGUUAAAAGGGAAGCGCUUGUGACCAGACUUGCGCCCGGUGAAUCACCCAGCUCUCGCGGCUGGGGCACUUUGCCGGCACAGGCCAGCAUCAGCUCGCCGUCGGGGACAAAAGCCUCGGGAACGUAGCUCUCUUCGGGGAGUGUUAUAGCCCGUUGCACAAUACCCUUCGGCGGGCUGAGGUACGCGCUCCGCAAGGAUGCUGGCGUAAUGGUCAUCAGCGACCCGUCUUGA
rnacentral:rRNA from 1 species